rnacentral:rRNA from 1 species
UACGUAGGUGGCAAGCGUUGUCCGGAUUUACUGGGCGUAAAGAGCGCGCAGGCGGUCGUUCAAGUCGCGUGUGAAAGCCCCCGGCUCAACUGGGGAGGGUCACGCGAUACUGAUCGACUCGAAGGCAGGAGAGGGUAGUGGAAUUCCCGGUGUAGUGGUGAAAUGCGUAGAUAUUGGGAGGAACACCAGUGGCGAAGGCGGCUCACUGGACCGGUUCUGACGCUGAUGCGCGAAAGCGUGGGGAGCAAACGGG